UGAUUAUUAAGCAUUCUCUGGAAUGAAAACACAGAUAAACUCCUGAAAUUCAAAAGACUAUUGAACAGUGUCAACCCAAACAUACAGUUCACAAUGGAGUACAACCAAAAGGAGCUCCCAUUCUUGGAUAUACUAAUUUUAAAAAAUAAACCUAAAAAUAGAAACGGACAUAUUUUACAGUAAUGAGUAUAUAUGUCACUUGAAUACUGAAGUUGUUUUGGGUUAUUUAAUUGACGUGUGCGCAUGUGUAUACAUGUAUAUGUGUGUGUAUUCAUAUAUAUUGCACACACUUACACACGUAUACCCACACAGAGCCAGUCAGUGAUUGAACUACCACGAUAUUGCACAAACUACUAAAAAUUGCACCUAAGCAAUUUUACAACAUUGACACUGAACAAUUCUGGAGUUGAAAAACCCACAAAGCGAACCGAAACGAAUAGAAAGAGAUAAAGAAAUAAGAGCAAAUGACAGUAGAAUAUAGUAUUUAACUCUGCGCAUACCACAGCGGUGUCGUACAAUUCUGGAUUUGAGAAUCUGAGAUAAAAAAGAUAAAAAAUAGAAAAAGAAGAACAAUAAGAACGAUCGCAUAGUGAAAUAUUCUAACAGGUGGCGCUCAGCGACAUUCAUUGAAGAAUCUUUAACUGAAAAUAUUUACAUGGACAGCAUCGAACUGGGUGGAUAUGGCGCUAGUAGUGGAGAAAGAGAGAGAGGUGGUAGAGGACAAUAUGACAAUGGUGGUAGUGGUGGUGGAGGUAAAAUAUGGGAAGGAAUUGGUGUGUUGUGGUUAAUGGUAGUAGAAUCAAAUCAUCUUAUAUUUCAGGAUUUGCCAAUUGUAUGGCGGAGACGUAUUGGUGAGGGAACAGAAGGAAGAGUUACUAUACGGGGAGGAAUGUUUGCUAGUGUACAGGUAGGGAGUGGUCGGGUAGGAGGAUUCUUAAUGAGGUCGAUAUGGAAACCAGACUAUUGUUCGACGGUUUUACCGAUUGCAUGGCACAGCCAUAUUGGUGAGGGAAUAGAAGGAAGAAUAAUUGAACUGGAAGAUGAAGUAUGCGAAGCGGUUUGUAUGCCACGGUGUACUCGAGAUAAUUUGCGGCACCUGUCUAUUGCAUGCAGGUGGGAUAUCCAAGGUGGAUUAGAGGUAAGGGUUUUUGGGACGAACAGGAUUAGGAGGGGGUGGUUUUAUAGUGUGGAUGAAAUUGUAGAGGAAAGGAAUGGCAAUAGAAUGGGAGGAGCUGCUAGGGUAGAGGGAAGAGAUUCUAUUGUAUC